GAGGAGAGUCGAUCUUAAAGAUUUUCGUAGCUCGUCUAUGUGGUGCCUGUAAGUCCUGUUUUAAAAGUCUUAAGGCAUUUCUUAGAUGAUCUUUGAUGGUCUUAAUAGCUUCAUGAUAAUAA
rnacentral:precursor_RNA from 15 species